GACGAUACCGCCGUCGAUGCUCAAUCUGGUAAGAACUACCGUUAUGCCAAUGCCAGCAGCUGCAGGGGCAGUAGGUUCAGGGACCAGGCGUUUCUGCAAACCCCUGUAUUGUGCACCUCUCCAGCAACUGCAACCAGAGUUGUGUUGAAGGUUGAUGGAAGGAUCAUGUGUGAACCUUGCAAUGGUAAAGGAUGGUUGCUCUGUGAUUUCUGUAAAGGACAAAAAACCAAUGUCAAAGCUGAUAACAAGCGGAUCUACCGUCGAUGCCCAUCUUGUAGAGCUGUGCGUAUUCCUGAAUUCCUGAUUUCUAGUCCACUGAAUACCUUUUUCUUCACCCAUCAGUUUAUGAUACUUAAAGUGGUUGCCUGCCAUUUUUUUUUUUAACCACAAAGACUAGAUAUGCAUAGCUGAUUUAACUGCUCAAUGGAAUGAUAUAUUGAGAACAACAAAAGAUGCUUAAGUAAAUUAAGAAAUUAUAUUUUUGGUUUGCCGGAUGAUGGCUCCUUUAACAAAGCUAAGAUAUAUAGCUUGGCUUAAAUAUCAUGUGAGAAAGGGAAAUCAAUGGAUGGUUGCGUAGAAAGACAAGAAGUAGGCUUAUACAUGGGGCACAAGAAUAUGUAGAAGGCAUGAUUCCUCGUCCACAGAAAAAAUGGAGAAUAACUCUCAUUCAAUUUUGUUUUGUGUGCCUAAAAUCAUGUAUAUGAUAUAUUGGUGGCUCUAGUCUUCUAUACUGCUAUAAUUUUGUAGUGGCUGCCAUCCAGAAUUAGGUAUACCCCAUGUUUCCUCCCAAAUUACCAGCUAUUGUGGAUCCAUCCCAAGCAACCUGAUGAUAUCAAUAACGAAAACCUCUCAUUUGAAACUGUAGUGCAGAUUGGUUAUCUUCUGUGUUCAAAUUGCAAAGUGUUCAAGUGUGUCACCUUCCCAAACAGUAGUGACGGUGAAGAGUUGACCUUCUGAGCACACCUUGCCGGUUUAUUCAUCAAAGAUUCAACUAGUGUGCUUGUGGAAUUGUUCUUGGAGGAGUUUGAUGUCAGUUUUCUCCUUGUCCUUCUUUGUAUUUUUCUUGAACUCUCAAGAAGAAACGAGGCAUCUACUAAUGUCUAAUGCGCAUAUCAUGAGCUGUGACAUCUGUUGGAUGGGUGACCGUUGACUUGCUGUAUAUCUUUGUUGAUAAAAAUGGAGUACAAUAAAAGAGUCAAUUUGGUUUUCCUUGCAGUCACAGAAUAUUGUUGUUAAGUCGAUUGAAUGCUUAUAGGAAUGUGGUUUUAAGUAAAUUGAAGCAUUGUCCUUGAAGUGGCUGGUUGUCAGUAGCCUCAGAACCAUAGAAUAGAGGCUUAUAUAUCCUGGACCUACUCCAGAGUAUUGACAGUGAUUCUUACAUAUUUCUGAACAGAAUGUGAUGGCAGGAAGUGAUGAUGAAUUAUCUGUAUAUCUCAAGGUGUUAGCAAAUGCUUAUCAAAUUUACAAGGUACAUAAGUAACGAGAAUAAAUGUGAAGAUGGUUGUAGACUUGUAGUGUUCUGGUUUGAAAACAUGUUACUGAG